AUUGAACGCUGGCGGCAGGCUUAACACAUGCAAGUCGAGCGGGGUGAUGGUGCUUGCACUAUCACUUAGCGGCGGACGGGUGAGUAAUGCUUAGGAAUCUGCCUAUUAGUGGGGGACAACAUCUCGAAAGGGAUGCUAAUACCGCAUACGUCCUACGGGAGAAAGCAGGGGAUCACUUGUGACCUUGCGCUAAUAGAUGAGCCUAAGUCGGAUUAGCUAGUUGGUGGGGUAAAGGCCUACCAAGGCGACGAUCUGUAGCGGGUCUGAGAGGAUGAUCCACCACACUGGGACUGAGACACGGCCCAGACUCCUACGGGAGGCAGCAGUGGGGAAUAUUAGACAAUGGGGGGAACCCUGAUCCAGCCAUGCCGCGUGUGUGAAGAAGGCCUUAUGGUUGUAAAGCACUUUAAGCGAGGAGGAGGCUCUUUUGGUUAAUACCCAAGAUGAGUGGACGUUACUCGCAGAAUAAGCACCGGCUAACUCUGUGCCAGCCGCCGCAGUAA
rnacentral:rRNA from 1 species